GUGGUCAGAGCAGGAAGAGCCUCCCUCGGAAUGAAAAGUGGGACUUCAGGCGCACCUGGUCGACGAGAACGAAAAUCGGCGCAGGCAGGGCCACCAAUGCAGCUGACAAGACAUACAAAUAAAAAAAGUCUUCAUCCACUGGCAGAAGAAAACAGGAGACUGACAAAUCUCCCUGAGGAGGGAGUUCCAAAGUUUUUUUUUAAUUUUUAUUGACUUUAUUAAUAAGGCACCAGACGUCAGGGGGACAGCAACACUAAAUUGCAAGCAGUAACGGAGCCAUCGCCGAUGGCAAGGAAAGUACCAAGACUCGAAGUCAACAUUACGGAAGCACAAUCCAUAUGUUAAACAUGCUUGUCAUUCUGAUUGGCCAUCUCAAGAGUAUGAAGUGCAGAACAGUCAAGCAGGCCAAACCCUUAUUUUGCGCAAAUUUCCCCCCAAACCAGGGAGGAGCUCCUCCUCAACCGAUUUCCCUUGGGAGGGAGAAUCACUUUCACCAACAAGAGGAAAAAUAGCUGGAGGAAGCAUUUUAUUCUUUUGAUUGGAAGAAACAUGGCCAGAGGAAGGACUUGAAGCGCCCCCUGCCUGCUUGUGUGGUGCUUUACACUGACCCGGUCACCACUUGAUAGAAUUAGGUCGCUGCUGAUUUUAUAAAGCAAGGGAGCAACGCCAUCAUAUCUAGCCAGAUCCCAAGUUUAGCAACCAAAUGAUGCCCUUUGGUUUUAAUAUUUAUUUAGACAGUGGGGCCCAACUAUAAAAAAGUCUCACAAAGGACUGAAAUAGGAAAUUUCUAUAGUCGACUUAAAUGUAUCUAGUAUUUCAGCAUGCCAUUAUCUACCCUUCCACUGAACAGCUUCUAGAUAGCAGCAUAACCCAAGUGUACAAUCAUUCUGGACCUCAUAAAGGCAAUUUCUGGGCCUCUAGUUGCACAGCAGGUAAUUUACAUUGCUAGCUGCAGUAACAAUGCUUGUGGAAACAUAAUCAGCUAGACUUGGUAAAUUUUUAGGGCACUCAUAGUAAUGAUAUUUUUAGGAUUUUCAUUCUCUCGGUAAAUACCAGAAAAAUCCCCCUAUGAUUUUCAGCGGCCAGCCAGAUAAUCACAUAUUUGUACAUGCAUACUGCAGCACAGGUAUAAGUACGCAAGUGAAAACUUUAAGAAAUCUUGAUUCAGACUUUUCAGGUUCCCUUACUUGGCAUCAGCAUCAUCAUUCUUCAGUUUGGCUCGGAGGGCUUCAGUUACUUGAAUCCUAUGGAACACAAAGAAGUUACAAGAGGAGAUGUAUAAAUAUCCUAGAUAAAUUUACACAACAACCAACAACUGCAUACUGAGUAUUUGUUUCUCCCUUCACCUAUAUAUUUCUGUUUAUAAAUGAUGCACCAUAAUUCAGCACUUGGGCACUGUUAUAAAUAGCUACAGGGAUGGAUCCUAGCAUCUUGUUUCAUCAGCUUCCAUAUGUUCCUUCGGUGCAAGGCAAGAUGUUCUGUUACCUAUUGAAUAUAACGCCCCAGAGUUUGUCAUGCAGCAUAUUUAUCCCUAUGAAAUGAGUAUGAGAUUGUUUAUGCUUUACAAGUUACUUAAGGUAAAGGCUUACAAAAUGAGAA